ACACUUGGUCGCGGAUGGCAAGAUAUCUAACGAAUAAGACACGCAACAACCGGUUUUCAAAGACGACAAAACGUGGGGAUGGCGGGGAAAGAGUGUGUGUACAUGUGUGUAUAUUUACGGUAAACAACGCGCAGGGCGUUCGAGC
ensembl:ncRNA C15C7.12 ncRNA